rnacentral:lncRNA from 1 species
UCCAGACAAUGGCCUGCAAGAGAAAGGAAGAAUACAAAAUGGAAGCCUGGGAUAGAGAUCAUCUCCUAGGAAAGGGGGAGGCCACCCAAGGCCUGUCAGGGGGAGGGCUCCACUUCUCAGCCCAUCUGCAGUAGGUCCACAUUCGGGGUAGGCAAGAGCAAGGCCUGCUGGAAAGGGAAACUGCUCAUCAAGAAACUGAGGGAGGCUGGGCACGGUGGUUCAUGCCUGUAAUCCCAGCACUCUGGAAGUCCAAGGAGCAGCAGUAGCAGCAGCUCCAAGAACAGCACUGGCUCCUUCUUAGUCCCAUGGAAGCACAGAUCAACAUCAUUGCCCUUGCAAACUUCUCUCAGCUUAGGAGAGUCUACUCGCUCUUUGCACAUUGUUGACAUGAAAUGAAUAUUAAACACCAAACCUCAUAGAGGCCAGCCCUGCUGGGCGAGCAAUGAACCAACCCUCCUCAUGCCUGUUCAUUAUUAUAAUUAACAUUGAGCCGAGGUUGGUGGUGACCUCGCCCUCGCCAGGUAUUUGGGCUGUUUUAGCAGCUUAUUCAGAUCAGUGACAGACAGCUCUGAAUAGAUAAACUCCCCGCCAUCCAGACGAAUCAAUUGCAACACUGCCGUCACAACAAGCCCAAUAAAUCAAUCUGAUUUCAG